AUGAGAGAACAAUUUUACAGCUCAACAACUCUCAAGUCUCUCAAUCUCACCAUCCAUUAUCUAACAAACUCUCAAGAUCCUAAGGCUCGGAUUCAAUUCAAUCGUAAAAAAAUUUCUACAAACUCUAACAGAAAGAUAAAAAUAGAAUUCUCACCAGAUACGAUUCAUUCUUCAAUUUCUGCAGAAGAAUCACGAGAAAAUUAUCACAAAAAUUCUCUAUGUAUUAUUUGA